rnacentral:rRNA from 1 species
AUGAAACUCAAGGGAAUUGACGGGGACCCGCACAAGCGGUGGAGCAUGUGGUUUAAUUCGAAGCAACGCGAAGAACCUUACCUGAUCUUGACAUCCCGGUGACCGGGACUUAACCGUCCCUUCUCUUCGGAGCACUGGAGACAGGUGGUGCAUGGUUGUCGUCAGCUCGUGUCGUGAGAUGUUGGGUUAAGUCCCGCAACGAGCGCAACCCUUAUCUUUAGUAGCCAGCAUUUAAGGUGGGCACUCUAGAGAGACUGCCAGGGACAACCUGGAGGAAGGUGGGGAUGACGUCAAAUCAUCAUGCCCCUUAUGACCAGGGCUACACACGUGCUACAAUGGCGUAAACAAAGGGAAGCGAGCAUGUGAAUGUGAGCAAAUCCCAAAAAUAACGUCUCAGUUCGGAUUGUAGUCUGCAACUCGACUACAUGAAGCUGGAAUCGCUAGUAAUCGCGAAUCAGAAUGUCGCGGUGAAUACGUUCCCGGGUCUUGUACACACCGCCCGUCACACCAUGGGAGUCAGUAACGCCC